rnacentral:rRNA from 1 species
GACGAACGCUGGCGGCGUGCCUAAUACAUGCCAGUAGAACGCUGAAGGAGGAGCUUGCUUCUCUGGAUGAGUUGCGAACGGGUGAGUAACGCGUAGGUAACCUGCCUGGUAGCGGGGGAUAACUAUUGGAAACGAUAGCUAAUACCGCAUAACAGUAGAUAUCGCAUGAUAUCUACUUGAAAGGUGCAAUUGCAUCACUACCAGAUGGACCUGCGUUGUAUUAGCUAGUUGGUGAGGUAACGGCUCACCAAGGCGACGAUACAUAGCCGACCUGAGAGGGGGAUCGGCCACACUGGGACUGAGACACGGCCCAGACUCCUACGGGAGGCAGCAGUAGGGAAUCUUCGGCAAUGGACGGAAGUCUGACCGAGCAACGCCGCGUGAGUGAAGAAGGUUUUCGGAUCGUAAAGCUCUGUUGUAAGAGAAGAACGAGUGUGAGAGUGGAAAGUUCACACUGUGACGGUAUCUUACCAGAAAGGGACGGCUAACUACGUG